CGAUCUCAUAACUUUGCGUACAAAUAACACGACUUUCCACCUUCCCUUUGCGUGCAAUGCAUACGCCAAAAUCCGUUUUUGCGUGCAUAUGAUACGCCAGUCCUUCCCAUUCAUUUCUUCGGAGAACAGAUGCGUCCAUAUGCCACGCACCAACUUUAACGGCGAUGACGUCAUCAACGAGACUCGGUUCAACGCCAGUUCACCUGAUGAGCAUCGACAUUGAAUCAAUACAAUGUUAAGUGGAAACAAACAUAAAUUAGAAGCUGUUCUUCUUCUCGCUGAUGCAUUUGUUGAGGAGAUACAGGCA